rnacentral:rRNA from 1 species
AGUGAACGCUGGCGGUAGGCCUAACACAUGCAAGUCGAACGGCAGCACAGUAAGAGCUUGCUCUUACGGGUGGCGAGAGGCGGACGGGUGAGGAAUACAUCGGAAUCUACUUUUUCGUGGGGGAUAACGUAGGGAAACUUACGCUCAUACCGCAUACCACCUACGGGUGAAAGCAGGGGAUCUUCGGACCUUGCGCGAUUGAAUGAGCCGAUGGCGGAUUAGCUAGUUGGCGGGGUAAAGGCCCACCAAGGCGACGGUCCGUAGCUGGUCUGAGAGGAUGAUCAGCCACACUGGAACUGAGACACGGUCCAGACUCCUACGGGAGGCAGCAGUGGGGAAUAUUGGACAAUGGGCGCAAGCCUGAUCCAGCCAUACCGCGUGGGUGAAGAAGGCCUUCGGGUUGUAAAGCCCUUUUGUUGGGAAAGAAAAGCAUCAGGUUAAUACCCCGCUGUUCUGACGGUACCCAAAGAAUAAGCACCGGCUAACUUCGUG